rnacentral:rRNA from 1 species
AGGGCACCACCAGGAGUGGAGCCUGCGGCUUAAUUUGACUCAACACGGGAAAUCUCACCAGGCCCGGACACUGGAAGGAUUGACAGAUUGAGAGCUCUUUCUCGAUUCGGUGGGUGGUGGUGCAUGGCCGUUCUUAGUUGGUGGAGUGAUUUGUCUGGUUAAUUCCGAUAACGAACGAGACUCUGUCCUGCUAAAUAGUUCCCGCGUCCUUUGUUGCGCGGGAAAUUCUUCUUAGAGGGACUGGCGGCGUCUAGCCGCACGAGAUUGAGCAAUAACGGGUCUGUGAUGCCCUUAGAUGUUCUGGGCCGCACGCGCGCUACACUGAAGGGAUCAGCGUGUCUUCCCUUCCCGAGAGGGACGGGUAACCCGCUGAACCCCCUUCGUGGUAGGGAUCGGGGCUUGCAAUUAUUCCCCGUGAACCAGGAAUUCCCAGUAAGCGCAAGUCAUAAGCUUGCGUUGAUUACGUCCCUGCCUUUUGUACACACCGCCCGUCGCUACUACCGAUUGAACGUUUUAGUG